ACGGUCUCACGUAACUGGCGAAAAACUAGCUGGCGCUUGCGCUGCUGGUGAGAGGUGGGCAACCACCGGGGAACGUGAGAUACAUCAAUCAGCCGUUCGCCUGGGCAGCCACG
rnacentral:ncRNA from 2 species